GGUUCCUCCACUACUCCUAGAGGGCUGCCUCAACAGACUGUAGGAAAAUUAAUUCAUGGACUGCUCGAGUUAAACACCGGGAGCAGUGGAUCACUGAACAAUCUGCAGAAGGGCUCUGGAGACACACUAACACUGCAGAGCUGGGAUGUUUUCUCCAGGGAAGGGCCUGGACAGCACAGCUGAGCACCAUCAACUUGCGCAGCCAUGAGGCACAACACUUCAAAAGGCCUACCCCUCCAGGGGUUUGUCUGAGGCUGACUAGAUGUGUCAAGGGACUUGUCAGAAGGCAACAAGAGAUCAUCAUGUCUAGUUCUCAGCUCA
rnacentral:lncRNA from 1 species